GUGUGUGGCUCUGUGGCAGAGCGCUUGCCCAGCAUGUGUGAGGCACUGGGUUCGAUCCUCGGCACCACA
rnacentral:tRNA from 1 species